AUUGAACGCUGGCGGCAGGCCUAACACAUGCAAGUCGAGCGCGCGGCGGACGGGUGUGUAAUGUCUGGGAAACUGCCCGAGGGAGGGGGAUAACUACUGGAAAAGGUAGCUCAUACCGCAUACCAUCAGAUGUGCCCAGAUGGGAUUAGGUAGGAGUGGGGGUAACGGCUCACCUAGGCGACGCCCCCUAGCUGGUCUGAGAGGAUGACCAGCCACACUGGAACUGAGACACGGUCCAGAGUCCUACGUGAGGCAGCAGGGGGGAAUAUUGCACAAUGUGCGCAAGCCUGAUGCAGCCAUGCCGCGUGUGUGAAGAAGGCCUUCGGGUUGUAAAGCACUUUCAGCGGGGAGGCGUUACCCGCAGAAGAAGCACCGGCUAACUCCGUGCCAGCAGCCGCGGUAAUUC
rnacentral:rRNA from 1 species